UACGGAGGGGGCUAGCGUUGUUCGGAAUUACUGGGCGUAAAGCGCACGUAGGCGGAUCAGUAAGUUAGAGGUGAAAGCCCAGGGCUCAACCCUGGAACUGCCUUUGAUACUGCUGGUCUGGAGGUCGAGAGAGGUGAGUGGAAUUCCGAGUGUAGAGGUGAAAUUCGUAGAUAUUCGGAAGAACACCAGUGGCGAAGGCGACUUACUGGACGAUUGUUGACGCUGAGGUGCGAAAGCGUGGGGAGCAAACAGG
rnacentral:rRNA from 1 species